GACGAACGCUGGCGGCGUGCUUAACACAUGCAAGUCGAACGAGGUCCACCGCGUAGCAAUACAAGGGAAGACCUAGUGGCGAACGGGUGCGUAACACGUGAGGAACUUGUCCCGGUCUCUGGGAUAACAGUUGGAAACGACUGCUAAUACCGGAUGACGUCGGAGCAUCGCAUGGUGCGCUGACGAAAGGGUUACUGGAUCGGGAGAGCCUCGCGGCCUAUCAGCUUGUUGGUGGGGUAACGGCCUACCAAGGCAUCGACGGGUAGCUGGUCUGAGAGGAUGAUCAGCCACACUGGGACUGAGACACGGCCCAGACUCCUACGGGAGGCAGCAGUGGGGAAUCUUGCGCAAUGGGCGAAAGCCUGACGCAGCAACGCCGCGUGCGGGAAGAAGGCCCUCGGGUUGUAAACCGCUUUCAGCAGGAACGAAAAUGACGGUACUUGCAGAAGAAGGUGCGGCCAACUACGUGCCAGCAGCCGCGGUAAAACGUCUA
rnacentral:rRNA from 1 species